AGUUGGUGAAAUGUUAGUAUUUGACCACUAGGCGGAGCUCUUGUAAUGAUAAUGUAAAUUAACACAUUUUAUUUUGUAUGUUUUAUUUUUGUGUUGAGCAUGUUAACAUUUUCCUAUUUGCGUACCGGAUUGGUGUAAAGUUAAUUUGAUACAUGGAAAAUAACCGGUUAAUUUUGUAAGUAUAAGGUAAGGGCAGAGGUCACUUCCUGUUUUGAGUAGUAAGGUGAGAGAAGCUGCUCAUGGUGACGGUCUAGCCGUGUGAAUGUUAAAGAAGAAAUAAGUCCUAAGUUCCAAUACACCGGUUUGUCUACUUGCAGGCCAAAGUGUUCUACGGUGUACCUGUGUACGUUAAAGAAGCACAGUAAACA